UCGGUGGUCUAGGGGUAUGAUUCUCGCUUUGGGUGCGAGAGGUCCCGGGUUCAAUUCCCGGUAUUAAAU
rnacentral:tRNA from 1 species